GCCACGUUUGGUCCAGAACUCUCUAUCUAGUGGAACACUGAAGUUACAGACAAGCUCAGCAAAGUUAUUUGUGCAAUUAUUAGAAGAUGAGGAUUGCCGUAGUGAAUGUAGCUUGAAGCCACUUUCAAUUUGCCACAGGACUGGCAAAUAGAGCCUCACCUUAAUGACUCCAAAGUGCUCCCUAACACCUUGAUCGUGAAGAAAAUUGAUGAAACUCACAGAUGCAGAACUGCUGAGGGAGACAGAAUUUAAC
rnacentral:lncRNA from 12 species